UACUUACCUUUGUCUCCGGCUGGGAUUGAAAAGCGAACCUUUUGCCUCCAUCCCUCUUGUCCCUCCUGGUCCUUCUAACCCACUCUUUAAAAUCGGAAGAUCUGCGGUGAGGAAUAAGGUCUGAGGGGCCCCUUUACUCUGCCACAUCGACUCCGCUUUCCUCCGACUGUGUGGCUGAGCUCUUUGAUCCUUUGAAUGAUGUUUUGAUAUUUUCCCAGAGAAAAUACCCUGCGCGGGAAGGCGGGGGUUGAAUUCAGUCCUCACAUCUAAUGAAAGUACAAGGCCUGAUUGAAUCUAAUAGUGCCCAGAAGUAAACGACAACGGGCCAAGAUUUUGACACGGUGCAAAACUGACUUUCAUCAUUGUUAGAAUCGUUAAAUCUUGGGAAAUGGUUUGGCAACCUCCAAAUAAGAAGCAAGGGAAACGACGUCAGAUGACUUCAUCUAAGUACAGACCAUCCACUUGCGCAGUUCCUAUACGUGGUUGCAUUUUUACGUGAAACAGAUUUCCUUUGUCCACAUGAGUGGGGUGGAAACGGGUACAUUGUGAAUGGAGAAAUUCAUCACAAGAAAACGGAGACCUCUUCAAUUAAUAGCAACUUCGGUCUAGACUAUGGUCUUGGAGUAAGUACAGGUUCUGGACAGUCACCUUCAUGUAUGGAGUCCGUACAGGCAAAGAUCAUGGAAGUGGUGAGAUACCAAGGUAGUGACAAUACACUCACCAGAGUAGUAAAUAAUAACACAUUUAGAGUAAUUUUCAGCAAAAAGGUUGAAAACAAAAGAGGCUUUUUUUUGGUUGACUGUGUUUACUGGGGAAAAUAACUUGUUAAAACAUUUAAGUGAAUUAUUUAAAAUUUUUUUAUUUUGGGAAAUUUUAAGUCAUGCAGUGUGAUUCAAAGAAGGAAGAUGAUCCUGUAUGCCUCUCUUAAUUUGGUGCUUGUUUCUUCAUUUUAAAAUUUCCAUAACCUACUUUACUUAAAUGACAAAUUUUUUUGGCUUUGCUUCCUGGAAUCCAUGUAUGUAUAACUGACCAUUGUUCUAUGCUGCCUUACACAGGAAAAAAAUAGGGUUCUGAUUACAAAAUGGGCUUUGUUUAUGGUAGCAUUUUUUUAAGGCAAAAUAAAAUUUGAUCUUACA